rnacentral:lncRNA from 1 species
GGUGGCGUGUGAAGAGUAUAUUGAAGAAGUAGAAAAGCUAGCUCUAAAGUUGAUGGGACUUAUAGCCUUGAGCCUAGGCUUGACAGCAGACAGAUUCAACAGCUACUUCAAAGAUCAAACAAGUUUUAUCAGACUCAACUACUAUCCACCUUGCCCUUCCCCUCAGUUAGCUCUCGGCAUUGGGCGCCACAAGGAUAGCGGUGCUUUAACUGUGCUUGCUCAGGAUGAGGUCGGAGGAUUGGAAGUGAAGAGGAAGAGAGAUGGAGAGUGGAUUCAGGUUAAACCUACCCCAAAUGCCUAUAUCAUCAAUGUUGGUGACAUUAUUCAGGUUCCAUUCUUCAAACUUCAUACUAAGUACUUGUGCGCAGAUUAUUUUUCAAAAACUUGUUGGAACCAAGGUACCAAUUACUACUAUAGGGUAUCGAUUUUAACACUCGCAUUUUGCGCAAUUGCAUUUAGCUUCUCUACUUAUUUUUAUACUUUCAUUCUCCAUUUUAUGCAGGUUUGGAGCAAUGACAGAUAUGAGAGUGUGGAACACAGGGUGUUGUUGAAUUCAGAGAAGGGAAGGUUUUCCAUUCCCUACUUUGUCAACCCAGCACACUAUACCCUAGUCAAGCCCUUGGAGGAGCUGACCCAUGAACAAGAAGACCCUGCAAAAUAUAAGCCUUACAGCUGGGGCAAGUUUUUGAAUCACAGAAAGCUCAGUAAUUUCAAGAAACACAAUGCUGAAAACAUCCAGCUUUAUCAUUUCAGGGUUUCGGAAUAAGUUAUGACCCCUCAAAAGAAAGACGUGUGCUAUCCUUUACAAUAAUUAGUCUAUGUACACAAAAAUAAUUGUGCGCUAACGUGUAUUUCUUACAGAUUUCUAAUAAAGUGUGGAUCCACUCACAAACUCUAUUAAAUAUGUGGCUUACAAGUUACAACAUAGUACUGGACAAACUUUGCAGGUGAUAUUGGUAACAUCACAAAGAUUCCAGAUGUUGGGAAACAUACAAAAGGCUUUGUACAUAUGGUCACACUGGUUGCCUGGUGAUGACUCGGACCCAGCAUUUAUAUAUGUAGUGACCCUCCCACCAAGCCAAAAGCAUCAACAAAAGCCAAAACCAAAAAGCUACUUUCUUGGCUUUGAGAUUUUUUCUGUUACAGGACAAAAGGUUGAAGCUUUUACAAGUGCUCUCUACCUUGGCUUUUGAGAUCGCCAUAUCUGAGAGUUUUUUUUACUUGGGGUGUUUACUCACCAAUCUCAAUUGAGUGCUGGUUUAGUUCUAAAUAAGCUUAUUUUCAUCCAAUCAAAGAAUAUCAAGUACAACCAUAUUGCUGCUCUGGCAAACCUCAAGUUUGCAAACCAUAAGAGGAAAAGAAUAGAGUACAAAAACAAGCCAACUAGUGAGAAAAUCUAACGCUAUAUUGUUAGGAAACACAAUAUUUUAUCGAUAUAUGAAAAAUGGUACAAAAAUAAGUACACGAGUUACUUUGUUGCUCAAUGUAAUAUAAAUUGUGGUCAUUCAUAAACAGAGUCCCAAAGGCAAGUAAUAGGACAUAUAUUAUCAAUACUUAGUUUUCAUUAUAGAACUGGAAAGUUUCAGGUAACAUUAUCAAGAAUGCUAUUAAUAAUAACCGACACAUAUAGCCCAAGUUAAGUAUAUACAAUCAAAAAAACGUUCUUAGAACAUGUGCAUCUACUAAGAAUGAACCUUGAAAGCUAGAUAAUGGGAAUCUAGAACAACAUCUGCCUAUUUUUGUUUCAAAAUCCCAGUUUCUCUCUCUCUCCUUCCUGCAAUCUGGUAAAAUGAACAUAGGAUCGUAUGACAGAAGUAGAGUGAUAACUCCUUUUCCAGAUUCUAAAAACUAAAUGCUUGCAAAAGCAUUAGAUUUUAGGAAGCCUGAUACAAAAAGGUGGAAUGCUGAUGAGAAUAGACUUAACUUGUCUGCCAUGGAUCUUCAAACUGCAUUACGAUAUUCGUCCAUUGUUUCUUUCAUUGCAUCCAACUGUGACAUGACAUAUUCCAGUUUCUUGCAACAGAUUUCAUUAGCUACUCUUGAACUGUAAUCACACUUCUCAAACGGACGGUAAUCACAUGCACUUUUAAUUUCAUCCCGCAGUGCCACUUGAAUAUCCUGAUUCACGAAAGAAACAAAUAUUCCAAAACAAGAACUUAGAGUAAGAAUAAUCUCAUUACCAAAAAGAAUAACCCAUCCAAUUAACCAAACUUCUCACUGAGACCAAAACAUUUUGCACCAGAAAAUAUUUCCAUACCAAAAUAAAAUUAGACAAAUUUUUUUUAUACUUAGAUGAAAUUUCCAAAUAUACUCUAGGUACUAUGGUCCUUGGUUAAAUUUACAUUAUUGAUCCAAAAUUCAAUAUAGCAUCCAAACCACUGAAUCAAAUAUACUCCCAAUGCAAUUCUAGAAAAGCACAACUUUCUUGAACCCCAAAACCAUCGUCCCAAAAUUUUCCCCUGAUAACAUUAUAAAUGCCAAAUCUGCAAUCUACUUCCAGGCAGAAUUCAAUUUUUGGGUCCCAUUAGCAAAUCUCAGAUUCCAUGACAGCUCCACGAUUACAGAAUUUUUUUUUUUUCAGUUACAGAUUACAGAAAUUUUCAGCUAUAUAAAAACACAUAUAUGUAUGCAUUCACAAACACAUGAUAUACCUAGCUACGACCUUGAUUAGCAGAAUAAAACAAAAGACAGACCUUGAUCAAUUGCAUGAACUCACGGCAAUGGUUGUUGAUAAACUCCUUUCUGGGACCACUAGGGUUUGCAAGCUCGUCCAUGACACCUCCAGCUAGCUCCAAAACCUUAACGAUUCUCUGCACAAUCAAGCAAAAAAAUUCUUAUUAUAGAUAUAGUCGGUUCCUAAAGGCAAUUACAUUUCAGUAUUUCAUUGCUUACUUUCUCCACAUUUUGAAGCCUCUGCAACGAGGUGUUCUGGGUCUGUGAAUCCAUGGGGUUCAUCUACGUUUCUGUUUAAGAGAAAGUUCAUUAGUACCAUAGUAUUGCAGAACCAACACCCUGUGCCAUAAAUUUGGGAAGGAGAGAACAAACUCCCAGGAGCUGGGAUACUUUUCUAACUUAAAGCAUGGAACUUCAAAUACCCAUAUGCUUUGAUGAAAAGUCUUUUGCACAAUCCAAACAUUUAAUAGAUUUGUUCUGACAAUGCAGUCACCAACAAACGGGAAAAACCCAAAAAAAUGAGGAACAAUCAAAGCAAAAGCAUACAAAUCAACAAAAACCAGAGCAAAAAUUAUAAAUCAAGCACAUCAAACUCCCAGUAAUCACAAAAUAAACCAAAACAUCAAGAAAAAACCAAAACAAAAGCACAUAUAUAAAUCAAUAAAACUUGUUGGAGAUUGGAGACUAUUUUCUUUAACGUGUGUGAAGAUUUAACUUAACAAAAACGAAAAGCAUAUUAAACCCUAGAAAUUAAAGAGAAAAGGGAAAGAAUAAGAAAUUGAAAACUAAAAAAAACAAACAAACCCUAGACUAAAUUGCCUGGGCUGUGGAAGAACUGCACCAACCAACAAGAUCACUGAAUGAAGAACGAGGGGAGAGAACCAACAGAAGCACAGUGGAAGAAGAACGUAAAGAAGGAAAUUCACGCGUAAAAUGUAAAAGGGGUAUCCAGUGGAAAUUGUAAAAAGCCACAAGGGUAGUUUGGGUAGUUAGAAGACUCUAACUCAGAUGAUUUUCUCAGCCCAAAUAAAGAGACCACGUAAUUAGAUCCAAAGUUUUUUUCAUCGGAGAUUCACUAUUAUACUUAAUAUAAGAGCUUAAAUUUUUUUAAAAAAAAAAAAACUUAUAUGAAAUGAAUUUUAGAAAUACACACAAAGUCCAUUUACAACAUAACAAAAAGGCUUUUAACUUCUGUUAAAUUACAAAAUUGUCAUUGAUUUCUUAAAACAAACCCAACUCAAAAACCUCAUGAAAAAAAUCUAAAAACACUCAAUAGGGCAUCAAAGUAAUUUAAUAAUCUAAAUAAAAUUAAAUAGGGCUAGUUAUCAUUUUUUGGGUUUUUUUUUGGUUUGUUUCCCGAUCUCUUGCUGAUCUCUUGGACCACAGGAGUCCAAGAGAUUGUGGUCACCCACCGUUGGAUAUUAAUCUAAUUGUUCAAAAAAGUUUCUUAAAGGGAGUGCAAGAGUGAGUGAACCGUUGAAUUUACAUCCAACGGUAGAGUGAGUGAACCGUUGAAUUUACAUCCAACGGUGAUUGACCACAAAUAUCUUGGGACCCUGUAGUCCAAGAAAUCAGGACUGUAGAAAUUAAAUAGUGUAGGAUUUAUUUAUAGUUUUAGGGCAUGUUUGGUAGGCUGGACUGGCCUGGACAAUGUUAAAUAGCACUUUGAAAAUCAUGUUUGGUAAGAGGGGGACUAAAUUAAAUGGGAUUGUAUAGUACAACAGUAAACAAAAAGCCUUACUAGCCCUUCUAGUUUAGCGAGACUCAAACAUGGUUAGCAAAAUAGCGAUUUCGCUAAACAGAGAACGUGAGUCCGACAAUAACCAACUUCUUCUUCUUCACCUAGAACUGUAACCACCAUAGACCCAGCCAAACCACCAGAAUCACCAUAGACCAUCGUCAAACCCAGUCACUGGAACCAACCACCGCCAAUUCAAACCUAGUCACUCGAAUCAACCACCACUAAUUCAAACCCAAUGGAACCACAACCCAAUUGAACCCAAAUUCAACAACCACUGUCAAACCCAAUUGAACCUUCCAAGAAAUCAUCCACCACGAUCAGGACAAUUGCAAAGGGAUACAUCAUUAACGGAGAUGUGGGCUUUCUUGUAUGAGACUGAGAGAAGGAAGUCAUGAAUUCCCAGUCUUGAAGUGGUUUGACAAAAAUUCUAAAAACUAAUUGGUACCCAUUAAAGGAUUCUUCCGGGAAAUGAUAUAGAAGCCAUCAAGUUGAACUUAUGGAAUAAAUAGCUGGUAUUGAAUUUUCAACCUCUGUCUCUGUCUCUCUCUCUCUCUCUCUUUGCAUUUUUUCUCACCUAAAACCCUUGACCACUCUCUCUCUCUCUCUCUCUCUCUCAGUAAAGGUUACAACUUUUAAUCUAGACAGUUGAUUAAGAAGGAAGGAAAAAGAAGAGAGGAAGAAAGAAGGUAAAUAAAAAAUAAUAAAAAAAAGGGUGGCCUGGGAAGGAAGAAGAAGAGAGGAAGAAAGCUAUUAAAAAAAAAAUUGGGCUGGCCUGGGAAGGAAGAAGAAGAGAGGAAGAAAGCUAUUAAAAAAAAAAAAUGGGCUGGCCUAGGAAUUUGGGAAGGAAGAAGAAAAUAGGAAGAAAGAAAAAACCAAAAAAAGAAAAAUGAAACGGGCUGGGAAGGAAAGGAAGAAGAAAUGGAGAAAAAGGAGGAAAAAAAAAAGAAGAAGAAAAGAUAAGAUAGUUUUAGCAAUCUUUAAUUAUUAAAUAUUAGAAUUUUAUUUAUUUAAAAUAAUUAUUUUUUAGUCCGACACAACACCAAACAUAGGUCUUCACUAUUUUUACAAUCCAGCUUCUUAGUCCGACUUAGUACCAAACGUAAGUCAGUACUUAAUCCAACUUAGGCCAAUCCGAGCUAAUUCAAGAAAGUCUCAAGAUUUAGUCCAGUCCAUGACAAUCCGCCGUACCAAAUGACCCCUUAGUGCUAAGAAUGGGUAUAUGACUAAAUAUCUUUUUUUUUUUUUUUUGGAUAUCCAAGGUGUUUUCAUACAUAACAUUGUCACUUGAACAAAAUUGGUCAAGGAUUUAACUCAAUUGAAUAGUAUUACAAAGCAAGUUUCAAAACUUUGAAUCUCAAUAACAGUAUUUAAUUUGUUGUUAUGUGUACUAUCCCGUAUUCUAAGAAUGAAUGAAAACAAAAAUAUUAUGCACGAACAUCAAACCAUUCGACUACAAUGAUCCUACAAAGAUUCAACAUUUGAAAAUUUGCUCACCAUCGUUGCAAUUGUCAAAGUAUUUGGCAUCAACAACCUUGUUGGUAAGAGACCAAAAUGCUUGUUAACUAACCUCUUAAGUCUUUAGAGAUCCAAUUUUAAAUUGAAGUCAAAAUUCAAAGAAAGGAAAAAAAAAUGGUCAAACAAGCAAAGCCAGAAAGCCUAUCAGUACUUUUGAAUCCAAUAAAUAAUAUGAAGACACAUACAAACAAUGAAUAUAUAUUUCCCAAUCAAAUUGGGGUGACCAAACCAGAAACAUAAACACAUGGAUCAAAGAAAGAAAAUUUUGAUCAAAUCAAUCUCUACUUUGCUGAUCAUUCUUCUCUGUGCAGCAAAUAUAACAGAAUCAACAAACCCUAGCAAGAAGCACUUUGUACUGGUUCAUGGUUCCUGCUUUGGUGCUUGGUCAUGGUACAAGCUUGUGACCUUAAUGAAGUCAUCUGGUCACAAUGUCACUGCCAUAGACCUAGCUGCUUCUGGGGUUGACCCACAGCAGGCAAAAGAUCUGCAAUCAAUUUCUGACUACUUCAAGCCCUUGACGGAUUUCAUGGCAGCUCUUGAUCCACCACAUGAUAAGGUCAUCCUUGUUGGUCACAGUCUUGGUGGGUUGGCCAUUUCUCAUGCCAUGGAAAGAUUUCCAGAUAAGAUAUCUCUAGCUGUUUUCGUCACUGCCUUAAUGCCUGGCCCAACCCUCAACAUCUCCACUCUUAAUCAAGAGGUACGUAUUACUUUCAUUAACUUAAGUUGUUGAAAAAUACUUUAAGAUAACUAAAAGUGUUUUUUCUUUUAAUAACUUGCAGAAAUGAACAAAAGUACUUUAUAAGAAAUCACAUAAUUAUCACUUUAAGCGCUUCAUAGAGAAACACUCAUAAGACGCAUGUGUAAUUCACAUAAUGUGCUUCCAGUAUUUUUCUUUUAUAUGCACAUAAUUUAAAUAAAUAAAAAAUAUAUAUAUUUGAAUUAUUAUGGGAAGUUACUUGUCCUUUUAUGUUGAUUAUAUCUUAUUUUCUUUGAUUUAUUUAUUUCUUCUAAUUGGAAUUAUAAAGUCGUUCAGAAGACAAGGAUCUCUAUUAGACAGUAAAUACACAUAUGACCAAGGCCCAAACAAUCCUCCAAUCACUCUCACAUUCGGCCCAUUGUUCUUGGCAACAAACAUGUACCAACUCAGCCCAACUGAGGUAAGUGAAAUCUAACCGUUGGAUCAUCAUCAACCAACAAAAUCCGACCGUUCAUAUUAAACAUAUCAUAAUUUGGUGCAGGAUGUAGCACUAGGCACCAUAUUAAUGAGACCUCAACGCUUGUUUAGUGAAGAGGACCUGUCCAAAGAACUCAAGCUAACCCGUGAGAAAUAUGGGUCGGUCAAUCGAGUUUACGUCUUAUCCGGCGGAGAUUUAUUGACGGAGAAGGAUCUCCAACGGUGGAUGAUUAAGAGGAACAGGCCAAACAGUGUGGUGGAAAUCACAGGAUCUGAUCACAUGGUCAUGAUUUCUAAGCCAUUAGAGCUGUGGGUGCAUAUCCAAAGAAUUUCUGAAAAAUAUUCCUAAUUGUUAAGUUAUUUUGUAAAAAUAAAAGCCAUGGAAAUUGGAUUUCCUAUUAGGCUAAUAUGCAUCAUGUAAUCGUUGUCUUCUAGAUAUCCAACCAGACACUAAAGCAUCAUUUGUCUGGAACCAAUAAUGUAGAUGCAUCCAGGAUAUUUAAUUUCAGAAAUUAAAUAAUUUAGCAUCAUUUGCCUUGGAGUUUAGUGGAUGUGUGACCUUUUUGUAGUGAGCUUCCACAUUUGUUACAAAUUAUGCUCCGGACUUUACGUAUGAAUACAAUCACACCUGCCCUAUCCAUCUACCUUCUUGAUUAAGAUAUUACAUAUAUGUAUACUAUAUAAGAAAAAUAUAUUAGAGAACUUCAAUUAAGAAAUAUCUAAAAUAUGCUUAUUUGAUAAAUACGUUUGUAGAACGCACUUUGUAAAUUAUCUAAAUUAUCUAAUUUUUAGGUAUUCCUUUGAGGAAAAUUUCUGUAAAAAAUUACUUGAAUCGAAAACCAUGUAAUAAUCAGUUCAAUUCAAUAAUUUAGAUACAUCCUUGUAAUGGAGAUUGAAAAUUGACAAUGGUCUCAAACAUUAGCAUAUCAGGUGUAAAUCAUAUGGCCAAAAAAUUUCCGUGACUAAUAUGCAUCAUGUAUUUCUUGUCUUCUAGAUAUCCAACCAGACACUAAAGCAUCAUUUCUCUGGAAUCAAUAAUUUAGAUACAUCCUUGUAAGUUUGGAUUACAAGCAGUUUUGCUGAGUGCUACUAUUGUUAUUUUAGCUCCCUGUGCAUACCGUGCUGUAUAUCGAUCCAGAAAAUAAUGCAUUGUUGUAUAGAGAAGUAGCCUCGCUACAAAAAUAAGUGGCAACAGUCACUAUUAUUUGGUGACAUUUGGUGCCUAUAGUGAGACCAAAAAUGCUUUUUUUGUGACAUUGGCUCUUUUGGGUUCUUUAAGAUGAAUGAACUUAGUAACCUGCUAAAACCUAUCUCAAUCCCAUCCCACAUUUUAAAUUUUUUUGAAUUGCAGUACAAUUUAGAAAGAGCUGCCGCUUAAUUAAUCCAUUUAUGAACAGUUCCUUUUCUGACGUGGGACAGUUGUAUUUGAUCCACCAUUCCUAACAGUGAGCACAAACCUUCACAACCUUCCAAAUCAAAACCUUGAAGCACCUGCUAUUCUCAAACUACUAAUUGACAAGAACCCAUCCAGAUUCAAGAUAAAACUUCAACCACUCAUAUACCAUUCUUCUAUUAGCCUUCUUGCAAAAACAAAAAACAAAAAACAAAAUACCAUUGAGCAGCUUAGCUUCCAAAUCAAAUUCACCAUCCAUGGGAGAGGUUGAUCCAGCUUUCAUCCAAGACCCUGAGCACAGGCCCAAACUCUCCGUCACCGAAGCUGAAGGCAUACCAUUGAUUGACCUGUCUCCCCUAAACUCCUCAGACAACAUUUCUGACCCUAAAGCCAUUGAAGGGGUUGUCAGAGAAAUAGGCAAUGCAUGCAAAGAGUGGGGGUUCUUCCAAGUGAUCAACCAUGGGGUGCUAUUGGAUAAGCACAAAAAGAUCGAGGCUGCUGCUAGGAAAUUUUUUGCUCAGCCUUUGGAGGAGAAGAGGAAGAUCACGAGGGAUGAAAAUAGUUUGUUUGGUUACUAUGACACUGAGCACACCAAGAAUGUAAGAGACUGGAAAGAGGUGUUUGAUUUCGCAGUGGAGGAGCCAAUGUUAAUGCCAGCUUCCCUUGAUCCUGAGAACAAGGAAGAGACAAAGUGGACUAACCGGUGGCCUGAAUAUCCUCCAGAAUUAAGGUAACUCAAUGAUCACUAAGAAGAACGUGCUUAUUUUAGGUAACCACAUCACAUAAUUAUACAAAGAUGAAAACAAAAAACAGAGAAGCAAUAAAAUGGUUAAAGAAAUCUAGAACACCUGUGAUUCAUAAUGAAAAUGCUUAGGAGCCAAUCAAAGAACACUAGCUCUCAAUUGAAAAUAUAACUGUUUGUGCAAAAAGGAACCUUUGCAUUAAAGGGUUAAAUACAAUUUUGGAACUUGAUCACUUAUAUGAUCUAAUAACUAGACACUGCAUGCUUUGAGCAGGGUGGCGUGUGAAGAGUAUACUGAAGAAGUAGAAAAGCUAGCUCUAAAGUUGAUGGGACUUAUAGCCUUGAGCCUAGGCUUGACAGCAGACAGGUUCAACAGCUACUUCAAAGAUCAAACAAGUUUUAUCAGACUCAACUACUAUCCACCUUGCCCUUCCCCCCAGUUAGCUCUCGGCAUUGGGCGCCACAAGGAUAGCGGUGCUUUAACUGUGCUUGCUCAGGAUGAGGUCGGAGGAUUGGAAGUGAAGAGGAAGAGAGAUGGAGAGUGGAUUCAGGUUAAACCUACCCCA